rnacentral:rRNA from 1 species
UACGAAGGGAGCUAGCGUUGUUCGGAAUUACUGGGCGUAAAGGGCGCGUAGGCGGUGUGUCAAGUCAGGCGUGAAAGCCCCGGGCUCAACCUGGGAACCGCGCUUGAGACUGGCACGCUAGAGUUCGGGAGAGGAUGGUGGAAUUCCCAGUGUAGAGGUGAAAUUCGUAGAUAUUGGGAAGAACACCGAUGGCGAAGGCAGCCAUCUGGACCGACACUGACGCUGAGGCGCGAAAGCGUGGGGAGCAAACAGG